CCUGUAGCUCCAUUUGUUGCAAAAUUCUAAAGGAACCCCACAAGGCCUGGAGGAAAGAGUUAAAUUACAAAUUGAGCAGGGAUGGCCAGUGAAUUUGAACUUCCUGGUAAAGAACUCUGGGGCAGGACUUUGGGUCUCCCUGACCUGAGACAUGGCUACAGACGGAAGAAGCGUUGGCUCUACACCAGCCCAUCCAUCAGCUGAAUAUCAUUAGGUAUCCUCAACGAUGCCUGUGGAACAGAAGAACCACCCAACCAAGCCUUACCCAAAUUCCUGACCCAUAAAUUGUGGGAUAUAAUAAAAUGGCUAUUGUUUCAA